rnacentral:rRNA from 1 species
GACGAACGCUGGCGGCGUGCUUAACACAUGCAAGUCGAACGGUGAACGAGGGAGCUUGCUCCCUCCGGAUCAGUGGCGAACGGGUGAGUAACACGUGAGCAAUCUGCCCCGAACUCUGGGAUAAGCGUUGGAAACGACGUCUAAUACCGGAUACGACGCGGGAGGGCAUUCUCUCCGCGUGGAAAGAACUUCGGUUCGGGGUGAGCUCGCGGCCUGUCAGCUUGUUGGUGAGGUAACGGCUCACCAAGGCGACGACGGGUAGCCGGCCUGGGAGGGGGACCGGCCCCACGGGGACGGAGACACGGCCCAGACUCCUACGGGAGGCAGCGGGGGGGAAUAUGGCACAAGGGGCGCAAGCCGGAUGCAGCAACGCCGCGUGAGGGACGACGGCCUUCGGGUGGUAAACCUCUUUAGCAGGGAAGAAGCGAAAGUGACGGUACCUGCAGAAAAAGCACCGGCUAACUACGAG